AGAGUUUGAUCCUGGCUCAGGAUAAACGCUAGCGGCAGGCCUAACACAUGCAAGUCGAGGGGCAGCGGGUGGAGUAUUUCGGUACUCCUGCCGGCGACCGGCGCACGGGUGCGUAACGCGUAUGCAACCUACCUUUAACAGGGGGAUAACACUGAGAAAUUGGUACUAAUACCCCAUAAUAUCAUAGAAGGCAUCUUUUAUGGUUGAAAAUUCCGAUGGUUAGAGAUGGGCAUGCGUUGUAUUAGCUAGUUGGUGGGGUAACGGCUCACCAAGGCGACGAUACAUAGGGGGACUGAGAGGUUAACCCCCCACACUGGUACUGAGACACGGACCAGACUCCUACGGGAGGCAGCAGUGAGGAAUAUUGGUCAAUGGACGCAAGUCUGAACCAGCCAUGCCGCGUGCAGGAUGACGGCUCUAUGAGUUGUAAACUGCUUUUGUACGAGGGUAAACGCAGAUACGUGUAUCUGUCUGAAAGUAUCGUACGAAUAAGGAUCGGCUAACUCCGUGCCAGCAGCCGCGGUAAUACGGAGGAUUCAAGCGUUAUCCGGAUUUAUUGGGUUUAAAGGGUGCGUAGGCGGUUUGAUAAGUUAGAGGUGAAAUUUCGGGGCUCAACCCUGAACGUGCCUCUAAUACUGUUGAGCUAGAGAGUAGUUGCGGUAGGCGGAAUGUAUGGUGUAGCGGUGAAAUGCUUAGAGAUCAUACAGAACACCGAUUGCGAAGGCAGCUUACCAAACUAUAUCUGACGUUGAGGCACGAAAGCGUGGGGAGCAAACAGGAUUAGAUACCCUGGUAGUCCACGCAGUAAACGAUGAUAACUCGUUGUCGGCGAUACACAGUCGGUGACUAAGCGAAAGCGAUAAGUUAUCCACCUGGGGAGUACGUUCGCAAGAAUGAAACUCAAAGGAAUUGACGGGGGCCCGCACAAGCGGAGGAACAUGUG
rnacentral:rRNA from 1 species